AGCCUGGAUUGCAUUCUCCCCAACCAAGCCACAGAUCCAAGGGUCAAAUUUCAUGCCUGGAGGUCUCUUGGAAGUACUGGGUAUCUGCUUAUAUUUCGAGCAUUUAAAGGCUAGCAUCAAACACAGAACUGAGUCAUAAGUCAGAAUAAGGCAUCUUUGUAGGAGCCUAGAUUGUGGGCAGAGUUCAGACAAAUUUGUUGUGGAACAGAGGACUCAGAAACUAUGAAGCAUGUGCCUCCCUGUGCCUUAGGAGCACAGACACUAUUAAACAAUCUAAGAGACCUGCUUAAAACCUCUACUUGAGCUCUGAGGCCACCCAGGUCUGUGACAAUUUUAUUAGAACUGACUUGGUAGAAAAGAUGUUGAUCUUGUUAUGUAGGAUUUGUGCUGGAUGUAGACCGAAGCAGCAGGUCAAGAUUGAAGUCUCACUAAAGGAGUCACCAGCAUUUUGCCAUCUUGUGCUUACCUGUAAUGCCUCCAAAUGAAUCUAUUGCUUAGGGAUCCAGUAGCAGUCACUGCUCCAUAUGUAGGCAAGUUGCCUGCAGUGAUGAAAAUGGCUCCUUGGACGGUGUGAAUUCACACAGGUUGAAUUUAGUAAAAUGUGUUCUAUGUUACUGGGUAUGUGGUAUGCUGAAGCUCUUGUAUAAUGUAUAGCCCUAGAGUUGAAGGUAGUGAAGGAGUUGCUGGAUUAGAGUCUAAGGAAAACCUUUGGACUUAUGAGAUAGCAUCCGUGAUGAGGAAUGUGUAUACUGGAUUUGUCAUCAAAUAGUGUAGGCAAUUUAUUCUGGACAGAAUUUGAUAGAGAACAAUAAGCCAGUGAGAGGGUAGGUGUGCUUUUGGCUCAAGCAGCGUGCCUUCACAUUGAUUGGCAAUUGUUAGGGAAGGCUGACUGGCUAGAAGACAUAAGGCUGUGGUAUGUAGUUCCAUAGAGAGUUUUCUACCCAGGCGGACAUGUGCCCUUCUCUUCAGAAAGCAAGGGUGAGAAUCAAGGUUCUCAAUGUUUCUCACAAGGCCCAGGCUCAGGCAGUACUUCACAGUGGAGAAACCUGAUUGAGAUUUCAGGUGUUUUAUGAACUGCUCUGGCAGGCCACAAUAGUGAAAGAACAAACCAAGGGGCAAGGCAGAGGCAAAGCCUGGGAGAUUUUUUUUUUUUUACCACCCGAUUAAUUUUAAGGACUACCAUUCCUUCCUGGGAUAUGUGUUUUUUAAGGGUUUGGGGGUUCAGUCCCCAGCUUCAGACUAGAACAUUUGUUUGAAAGCAACAUUUUCAGCGGCAGAGUUGUGGACUAUUUUCUGUUAUUAAUUCCAUCCAACUUCCUUUGGUACUUUGACAAAUAACCAAUGAAGUUAGGAACGGUCCUGGGAGAGAACCUAAGGCAUUGCCCUAAGGCUGUGAAAGUUUAGCUCCUCGGCUGGAUAGCCCAAUCUGUGGGCCUCCCUGCAGAAACCUGGGACUUGGGACAAAGAAAUACUUCAGUAAUUCCUCACUGUUUUAACACUUGUGACUGUGGAGAGGGGAAAAAGUCAAAGCCAGGGCUCCUCUCCCAGUGUCCUUCUCCUCCUUUAGCCGCCAUUUUUGGAAGAAGACCUGCUGAAUGUCCUUGCUCUUCCCAAGGCAGUAUUAAAGGCAGACUGCAAGAACACAUCACAAGGACAGAAAUCAGGGGAUUGGGGAGGUGUCAAGGGUGGCAUGCAAAUGUAGAAAAGUUUGGGAUAAAGGGGGCUAGGAGCAAAUGGGUUAACUUCAGUUGCCACUCACUGUGGUGCUUUUCCCACUUUAUCCUUGAAUUCUGCUUUGAAGAAUAAAUUUGUAUUUGUUU
rnacentral:lncRNA from 1 species